GGGCGCCACCAGGAAGACGUUUGUGGGUAGGACACGUCUGUGGUGUAUUCAGAGUGCUUGGAAAGGCAGCGUGUUGACCCACAACAGAGCAGGCGGUUGGGGUUGUUCUGCAUGGAGACACAGGGCUGGAAAACGCUAACAGAAGCAGCUAUGUCAGGUCACAUUGGAUCUGCUUGUGAGGCCCACCUGCUCUCCCCAGAAGCCUGAAGUAUGUGACCAUAACAUAUGGCAAGAAAAGAAAGCCUUUGCAGAUAUGAUUAUGUUCUCAAGAUGGGGAGAUCGUCCUGGAUUGUUCAGAUGGACCCUGAAUGCAAUCACACAUCACACAUAUUCUGUUACGAGAUGAGGAGGGAGAUUUUAGGGCACACAGAGGAGAAAGAGAUAUGAAGACAGAGCAGAGGGAGAUCAAAAAAUGUUGACCCUAAAUAUUGGAGUGAUGUGGCCACAAGCCAAUGAAUGCUGGCAGUCACCAGAAGCUGAGAGACAAGGAACCGGUUUCCUUAUGGAGCCACCAAGGGAGGGUGACAGUGCUGACACCCUGAUUUUGGCCCAUUGAUACUGACUGCAGACUUCUGGCUUCCAUAAUUGU